GAGUUUGAUCAUGGCUCAGAUUGAACGCUGGCGGCAGGCUUAACACAUGCAAGUCGAGCGGAGAUGAGGUGCUUGCACCUUAUCUUAGCGGCGGACGGGUGAGUAAUGCUUAGGAAUCUGCCUAUUAGUGGGGGACAACAUUCCGAAAGGAAUGCUAAUACCGCAUACGUCCUACGGGAGAAAGCAGGGGAUCUUCGGACCUUGCGCUAAUAGAUGAGCCUAAGUCGGAUUAGCUAGUUGGUGGGGUAAAGGCCUACCAAGGCGACGAUCUGUAGCGGGUCUGAGAGGAUGAUCCGCCACACUGGGACUGAGACACGGCCCAGACUCCUACGGGAGGCAGCAGUGGGGAAUAUUGGACAAUGGGGGGAACCCUGAUCCAGCCAUGCCGCGUGUGUGAAGAAGGCCUUAUGGUUGUAAAGCACUUUAAGCGAGGAGGAGGCUACUGAGACUAAUACUCUUGGAUAGUGGACGUUACUCGCAGAAUAAGCACCGGCUAACUCUGUGCCAGCAGCCGCGGUAAUACAGAGGGUGCGAGCGUUAAUCGGAUUUACUGGGCGUAAAGCGUGCGUAGGCGGCUUUUUAAGUCGGAUGUGAAAUCCCCGAGCUUAACUUGGGAAUUGCAUUCGAUACUGGGAAGCUAGAGUAUGGGAGAGGAUGGUAGAAUUCCAGGUGUAGCGGUGAAAUGCGUAGAGAUCUGGAGGAAUACCGAUGGCGAAGGCAGCCAUCUGGCCUAAUACUGACGCUGAGGUACGAAAGCAUGGGGAGCAAACAGGAUUAGAUACCCUGGUAGUCCAUGCCGUAAACGAUGUCUA
rnacentral:rRNA from 1 species